rnacentral:rRNA from 1 species
UACGUAGGGUGCGAGCGUUGUCCGGAAUUAUUGGGCGUAAAGAGCUUGUAGGCGGUUUGUCGCGUCUGCUGUGAAAAUCCGGGGCUCAACCCCGGACUUGCAGUGGGUACGGGCAGACUGGAGUGUGGUAGGGGAGAUUGGAAUUCCUGGUGUAGCGGUGGAAUGCGCAGAUAUCAGGAGGAACACCGAUGGCGAAGGCAGAUCUCUGGGCCGUAACUGACGCUGAAGCACGAAAGCGUGGGGAGCAAACAGG